CACCGCCCGUCACACCACGAAAGUCUGCCGGACCAGAAGUCACUGUGCUAACCGUAAGGAGGCAGGUGCCUAAGGUAAUGCAGAUGAUUGGGGUG
rnacentral:rRNA from 1 species